rnacentral:rRNA from 1 species
GUCUCGGGCCGUAUCAGCCUGAAGGCGCCCGAUCUCGUCUGAUCUCGGAAGCUAAGCAGGGUCGGGCCUGGUUAGGAUCUUGGAUGGGAGACCACCUGGGAAUCCCGGGUGCUCGAGGCU